GAUGAACGCUGGCGGCGUGCCUAACACAUGCAAGUCGAACGAAGCUUGACGGAUGAUUUCUUCGGAAUGAAACCAGAUAUGACUUAGUGGCGGACGGGUGAGUAACACGUGAGCAACCUGCCUUUCAGAGGGGGAUAACGGCUGGAAACGGUCGCUAAUACCGCAUGAUGUGUUCGGAUGGCAUCAUCUGAACAUCAAAGAUUUAUCGCUGAAAGAUGGGCUCGCGUCUGAUUAGAUAGUUGGUGGGGUAACGGCCUACCAAGUCUACGAUCAGUAGCCGGACUGAGAGGUUGAACGGCCACAUUGGGACUGAGAUACGGCCAAGACUCCUACGGGAGGCAGCAGUGGGGAAUAUUGCACAAUGGGGGAAAACCUGAUGCAGCAACGCCGCGUGAAGGAUGACGGUUUUCGGAUUGUAAACUUCUUUUCUUAGUGACGAAGACAGUGACGGUAGCUAAGGAAUAAGCAUCGGCUAACUACGUG
rnacentral:rRNA from 1 species